rnacentral:rRNA from 1 species
AGUGAACGCUGGCGGUAGGCCUAACACAUGCAAGUCGAACGGCAGCACAGUAAGAGCUUGCUCUUACGGGUGGCGAGUGGCGGACGGGUGAGGAAUACAUCGGAAUCUACCUUUUCGUGGGGGAUAACGUAGGGAAACUUACGCUAAUACCGCAUACGACCUACGGGUGAAAGCAGGGGAUCUUCGGACCUUGCGCGAUUGAAUGAGCCGAUGUCGGAUUAGCUAGUUGGUGGGGUAAAGGCCCACCAAGGCGACGAUCCGUAGCUGGUCUGAGAGGAUGAUCAGCCACACUGGAACUGAGACACGGUCCAGACUCCUACGGGAGGCAGCAGUGGGGAAUAUUGGACAAUGGGCGCAAGCCUGAUCCAGCCAUACCGCGUGGGUGAAGAAGGCCUUCGGGUUGUAAAGCCCUUUUGUUGGGAAAGAAAAGCAGCAGGUUAAUACCCCGCUGUUCUGACGGUACCCAAAGAAUAAGCACCGGCUAACUUCGUG